AACCACUAACGGUGGAUCCCUCGGCUCGGAGUUCGAUGAAGAACGUGGCAAAAUGCGAUAAUUGAUGCGAUCUGCAAGCCUAGUGAGUCAUCGAGUUUUUGAAUGCAAAUGGCACCGCUGACUCUGUCAGUGGUAUGUCUGGUUGAGGGUUG
rfam:Thelohanellus kitauei scaffold05350, whole genome shotgun sequence.